CUAAUUUCAACUGGGCGUCCAAUAAGGCCCAAAACGGAAUAUACAUGCUGAUUGGUUUUUAUCGAACGCAAGAAAAUAGCCAAUCAGCAGGUUCGCUCAUUCUUCUUCCGUGCGCUCGAAGUGCCGAAGAUCCUGGGCGGGAAAAACGCAUUUUGAAUUAUAUCACAAUAUAUGUAUAUACAUAUAUGUCGGAGAAGAGUCAGGAACGGGGUUGUGGGCGUUUGAUAGACCUCCCUUGGAGUUGGCCAUCGUUGUGUAAUAACGAAGAUACGGUCUGAUGCUACGAGUAUGGACACUACCGAUUCGACAAUCAACAGCGAUGGUUGGGCACUUGCGAUGUUAGUGACGUUGGUCUUAGGUUCGAUGACGAAUCCACGGUCAACGGGAUGAAAUAUAUACUUGCUCUAACUCAAACUCACUGAUCGUCAGGCGCUACUCCCUUCGUCAGUGGGAUCUCAAGAAAGAAUGAAUUUUCAUCCCAAUGGUGCCACAGAGGAAAACUAUGAUGGGGUGUGUCUAAGGACACGAGAUCAUCGGAUUCGUCGGGUAUAGCCCUCGUUCCGAAAGUAAGGGAAAUUGACGUCGCUGUCAAUUGGUCAGUUUGGGACAAAGACUGUCUGUCCGUUUGGAAAAUCUUAAUUGCCGGAAAAACCCAGGUUUUAUAGCGGGUCCUCGGGCUAACUGGACUUGUGCUGUGUACGUGCCUCAACAUCAGGUAUUCAUUGUCCGAAGGAACCGUUGGAAUGUUUUACUGUCAAGUACCUCUAUUGGUAUUUCUUUUAAUGAGGGUCAUACUAUAACUCCACACCUUUGUUAGGCGAAGCGCCCGUCCCGUUGACCGCGGCUACGUUCGGCGACUGUUGGUCGCCUUGAGCCCAAGUUUAUUAUCACAAAUCGCAAACAAGUACAAUUGGGUAGGAUGACGGCAGAUUGUUUAAUUACGACUGUAAACUUUAAUUACAAUCUUACGGAUUUUCCCGAAGUUCCAGAGGGAAGGCUCCGGUGUCCUUUCAUCUCCGACAUAUAAAAGGUUAAGAAAAUGUAAGAUAAAAUUUCUUGAAUUGAAAAACAUUUCUCUUUCGUUCAGAAAUAUUUAUAUCUUGUUCAUAUCAUAUGAGUAAAUAUUCAAUAUUAAUUACUACAGUAAUAUCCAUACUUUAAAAAUAAAUGAAAAAGAGGAAAGAUAUGUAUGUUUGACAGCAUAAAAAUAAAAUUUUAAUUUAUGCAAGCACGGAAAAUUAUUUGACUACCAACGGAAUAAAUGUAUUAAAUAUAAAUAUUAAAAAAAAUAUUCUAUGAAGAAUAGCAUUAAUAUACACACAUAUAUAUAUAUAAACAUUUUUUAUAAUGCAUAUUUUAUAUAACUAUAACAGGAAACUGGAUAGAAUGGAAGAAGGACUAGUAUAUUCUUCCACUUAUGCUUAUGUUUAUUUAUUAAUUGUAGCGACUUAAGUCAUUAAACUUGAAAAUUUAAUAAAAAUAUUCACAGUGA